UGGCGGGACGGGGUGGAGGUAACGCGUGGGUAACCUGCCUCAUACAGGGGAGUAACAGUUAGAAAUGGCUGCUAAUACCGCAUAAGACCACAGCACCGCAUGGUGCAGGGGUAAAAACUCCGGUGGUAUGAGAUGGACCCGCGUCUGAUUAGCUGGUUGGUGGGGUAACGGCCUACCAAGGCGACGAUCAGUAGCCGACCUGAGAGGGUGACCGGCCACAUUGGGACUGGGACACGGCCCAA
rnacentral:rRNA from 1 species